UUAGCGCCGCCCAGAGGAUCCGCUCCGCCUCCGGGCAGCGCCAUGAAUUCGACUGUCCGACACUGGACCCGUUUCGGAUCCGCAGAAGUGUACGUGCCUUUACUUUAACGGUUGAAGUUGCUACACCAAGAGCCGAGACAGUCGUCAGUGGAGAUUUUCUUUCCUGGAACACGGUUGCGCUGAACUAUUUGAGAUGCCUUUUCUUCUGAUUGAGUUUCAAGAAAGCAAGGACAUUGCUGUUGUGCCAGGUGACUGGUAUGAUGACGGGAUGGUGUACUGGCCCAACUUUGAACGUGUCAAACGGGCAGCUGCUAACGAGGAAAAGCAUGAGCCAAACUGGCCAAGAUUUGACGUAAAGGUCGUCAGAACUUGUGACAACUACAAAGACACCAUCAGGCUAAUGGACCAAUAUGAGACCGGCUGCAACACCUCUGAGCUACAGUCUGAGGCAGAGCAGGAGUGGGAGCUGCCAGAGAAACGAGUCAGGAAGCCAGUCCAUCGUUUUGGGGACUGAUGAGAGUGACGAAGAGCCCGAAAAUGGUGACUUAGCUUCUCUGAGGUCGCCACGACCUUCCAACUUGGCUGGUGUAUCAGUUGGAGCCUCAAGCCCAACUGGCAGACUCCACUAUCUCGCCGAGUGCCAGGCAGCAGAGUCACUACUCCUCAACCUGGAGGAAACUGUCUAGGGGUUAUCAUGUGGUACCAGGCUGGGCUGGAGGAGGUGGAGACUCUCAUUUCAGAGGUCCUUAAACAUGCACCAGCCCACUACCAACAGAAGCAUAUACAGGCAAGCGAGGACAUUGCUUUUGUGCCAGUUGACUGGUAUGAUGACGUGAUGGUGUACUGGCCCAGCUGAACGUGUGAAACGGGCAGCUGCUAACGAGGAGAAGCAUGAGCCAAACUGGCCAAGAUAUGACGUAAAGGUCGUCAGAACUUGUGACAACUACAAAGACGCCAUCAGGCUAAUGAAUCAAUAUCAGACCGGCUGCAACGCCUCUGAGCUACAGUCUGAGGCAGAGCAGGAGGGAUAGCUGCCAGAGAAAUGAUUCAGGAAGCCAAUCCAUCGUUUUGGGGACUCUGAGAGUGAAGAAGAGCCAGAAAAUUCUGCUGGUGUAUCAGUUGGAGCCUCAAGCCCAAACCAAUUACACUGGCAGACUCCACCAUCUCACUGAGUGCCAUGCAGCAGAGUCACUACUCCUCAACCUGGAGGAAACUGUCUAGCACCUGACCAUGGGGCCGGACCCCAACACCCUUCACCACCUCAACUCCCUGCACCUGUAUUUAACAUGAGGAGAGUUACUCAAGGAACGGCAGUCCCUCCUCAACUCCCUCCACCUCCCGCACCGGCCCUCAACAUGAGGCGAACAGAGGCGCCCUCUUCAAGCCUGGCCUACAGACCAACAUGGCGAGGGGGAGGAAUGACCGAUACCAUUCCCUGCUCUGUGGCUGAGGUCCACAUCCUUAGCCUGCUGGAGACCAUUAAACAGCAACAAGACCAGCGAACAGCACCCUGGGGCCAGAUGUUGAGAUGCCGGACAAUAUCCAGUUUCCCCUGGAACAAUUGGAGGCAGUGGAGGCAUUUGAAAUGUUUUUAAAGGAACCGUCAAAUGGUCCAGCUCGACAGAGCGUGGUGCUGUGAGGAAAAACACAGUGACACGGUCAGCCACGGACACAGAGGUCACCAAGCACGCAAUCAGGUGGUUCAACCUGGCAGCGAAUCGGGCAACGAGGAGACGUGUCCCGCCUCAAGCCACACAAACGGAGUAAUAGGAGAAAUAAGCAAUAAACAAUAUUU